rnacentral:lncRNA from 1 species
CAAGCCAUUUUAUUAUUUUUUUCACAACUUCCUACAAAUUUGGAUUCAAUCUUCGUUGCAUGUCCCUAUGUGGUUUGGCCUCAGUCUCACAGUAAAUGCGAUGCAUGCAAACAGAAGGAUCUAUACCCUUUAGAUCGGCAAUCGUCCAUCCUAUGGCUUCUUUAUGCUUUUUGAGCACCCUUACAAGUUGUUCCUCCUAGUCAGUGGUU